rnacentral:lncRNA from 1 species
AUCACAAAGUAUUCCUGAGCAUAUUAACACAACCAAUCAUCAAUCAACACUUGUUAACGUCUGUAGGCGAUCGUGUUACAUACUAUAAUUAUUUAUUACUUCAAACGUGGCAGAGUUACAUAUAUAAUGCUUGCAAAAGUCAUGAGUGGUUUGAAUACGUCGACCAUCCAGUGCCAGAGCACAGUCACGAACAUUUUAUGGUCCCUCAUUUUUAGUAUUAAUUUUGUCCGUCUCUAGAAGAAGAAUAUUUUAUGGUUAAUAAUAACAAAGAUUCAAUGAACGUUUUCAUACUAGAAGUUGCUAUAUAGAUAGUCAAGAUGAUGAAGUGUCCUAAUCCUCCCGGAUGCUGCCCAUAGUAUGAUAUGAUAUUAUGAUGGUAAUGGUGUAAUGUAAAAAUAUAUAUAUAUGGUCCAACUAAUGUGAGGUUGAGAAAAAACAGUCCCAUAUUCUUGUUUCAUGUUGUCUCGCAUUUGCCAUGGAAAACUUGAUUUGGUUGGAUAAUCUCAACUAUUACAGAAAGUUCACAUCUUCUUAAUUAUUCUGUUAUUCUAAAAAUAAAUGGAAGAGUUCAAUGUAUUUUCAUGAGACCUUUCGUUGGUGAUGAAGAUCAAGCAACUUUCAAGAAGAAGAAAAAGACCUAAGUAAAAUAACCCCUCAAUUAAGCCAACAACAGACUUUAAGAAAAUAAAAGCUAAAAGGGAAAAGUCUACAAUUAGGCUAAUAAUACUUAUGAGGAAAAAUUAAAGAGACCUAAGAAGCAUCUAAAGAUAAUCAACACAUACCAGCUCAAGCCCAAGGUGGGAGAAGAAGAUCCUAAGAUGUUAGGUGCAGAUGCUUCUAGUGGAAAAAGGUCCAACUUGGAGACUUAUGGC